rnacentral:hammerhead_ribozyme from 1 species
AUUCAGCUGACAAGUCUCAAAUAGGACGAAACGCGCGUCCUGAAU